rnacentral:ncRNA from 1 species
UUCUUCGGGGUUGGGUGCAAUUCCCUACCGGCGGUAAUGCGCAAGCUAGUCCGCGACCCAUGUAAAUGGCUGAUUUGGUGCGAUUCCAAAACCGACAGUAUAGUCUGGAUGAGAGAAGAA